GACGAACGCUAGCGGCGCGCUUAACACAUGCAAGUCGAGCGAGAACCAGGGCUUCGGCCCUGGGGACAGCGGCGAACGGGUGAGUAACACGUGGGUAAUCCACCCUCGGCACCGGAAUAGCCCGGGGAAACCCGGAUUAAUGCCGGAUGGCCCGCCGGCCCUGCGGGGCUGGCGGAAAAGGGAGCUUCGGCCUCCGGCCGAGGACGCGCCCGCGACGGAUUAGCUUGGUGGUGGGGUAACGGCCUACCAACGCUGCGAUCCGUAGCUGGUCUGAGAGGACGAUCAGCCACACUGGGACUGAGACACGGCCCAGACUCCUACGGGAGGCAGCAGUGGGGGAUCUUGCGCAAUGGGCGAAAGCCUGACGCAGCGACGCCGCGUGAGGGAAGAAGGCCUUCGGGUUGUAAACCUCUUUCAGGAGGGACGAAGCCACUCGGGUUAAUAGCCCAGAGGGUGACGGUACCUCCAGAAGAAGCCCCGGCUAACUACGUGCCAGCAGCCGCGGUAACAC
rnacentral:rRNA from 1 species